GUCCACGCCGUAAACGAUGAGUGCUAGGUGCUGCGGGUAUUGACCCCUGCGGUGCCGUAGCUAACGCGUUAAGCACUCCGCCUGGGGAGUACGGUCGCAAGACUAAAACUCAAAGGAAUUGACGGGGGCCCGCACAAGCGGUGGAGCAUGUGGUUCAAUUCGACGCAACGCGCAGAACCUUACCUGGGUUAAAUCCACUCGAACGGAGUAGAGAUAUUCUGGUGCCCUUCUGGGGAACGAGUGAGAAGGUGCUGCAUGGCUGUCGU
rnacentral:rRNA from 1 species